AUACUCAAGCUAUGCAUCCAACGCGUUGGGAGCUCUCCCAUAUGGUCGACCUGCAGGCGGCCGCGAAUUCACUAGUGAUUAGAGUUUGAUCCUGGCUCAGAUUGAACGCUGGCGGUAUGCUUAACACAUGCAAGUCGAACGGUAACAGGUCUUCGGAUGCUGACGAGUGGCGGACGGGUGAGUAACGCGUAGGAAUCUGCCGAUUAGUGGGGGACAACUUGUGGAAACGCAAGCUAAUACCGCAUACGCCCUACGGGGGAAAGGGGGGGAUCGUAAGACCUCUCGCUAAUCGAUGAGCCUGCGUUAGAUUAGCUAGUUGGUGGGGUAAAGGCCUACCAAGGCGACGAUCUAUAGCUGUUCUGAGAGGAAGAUCAGCCACACUGGGACUGAGACACGGCCCAGACUCCUACGGGAGGCAGCAGUGGGGAAUAUUGGACAAUGGGCGCAAGCCUGAUCCAGCAAUACCGCGUGUGUGAAGAAGGCCUUAGGGUUGUAAAGCACUUUCAAUGGGGAGGAAAAAGAGUAAGCUA
rnacentral:rRNA from 1 species